rnacentral:rRNA from 1 species
UACGGAGGGGGCUAGCGUUGUUCGGAAUUACUGGGCGUAAAGGGCGCGUAGGCGGCCUGCUAAGUCGAACGUGAAAUCCCCGGGCUCAACCCGGGAACUGCGUCCGAUACUGGUGGGCUUGAAUCCGGGAGAGGGAUGUGGAAUUCCUGGUGUAGCGGUGAAAUGCGCAGAUAUCAGGAGGAACACCGGUGGCGAAGGCGGGUCUCUGGGCCGAUACUGACGCUGAGGCGCGAAAGCCAGGGGAGCGAACGGG